rnacentral:rRNA from 1 species
UACAGAGGAUGCAAGCGUUAUCCGGAAUGAUUGGGCGUAAAGCGUCUGUAGGUGGCUUUGUAAGUCCGUUGUGAAAGUCAAAGGCUCAACCUUUGAAUGCCGAUGGAUACUGCGGAGCUAGAGUACGGAAGAGGCGAGUGGAAUUCCUGGUGUAGCGGUGGAAUGCGCAGAUAUCAGGAGGAACACCAAUAGCGAAGGCAGCUCGCUGGGACGUUACUGACACUAAGGCGCGAAAGCGUGGGGAGCGAACAGG